rnacentral:tRNA from 1 species
AGUCCACUAGCUCAGUUGGCAGAGCCAUUGACUUUCCAUCAAUCGGUCGCCGGUUCGAGUCCGGCGUGGCGUA